UACCUUUCAUAUUGGACGUCUCAGGUGCAAUUUGCACAGGUGCGACAUUUGACGACGAUUAGCGUGUCUGAGAGAGAUAAGAGGAUUUUCUGUCAAUAUAGACGUUAGUCUGACGACCCAUGAAUCUAACAAGACUAGCAGGAUAAACUACUGGUUGUCUCGGUCACACAUUUUGGAGUUUUAAUUCCUUUACUACAGUUUAACAAGGAGUGAUGAGGCUAGCGUGCACGGCUACAGUUGUUGUUGUUAUUUUACACAUGACGACAGCCUGGCUAUUUGACAUCGACCAAAAGGGAGUCGACUCUAACAUAAAUAACAGACAGCACAAUCGUAACGUCGACUCCAUGGCGGAUGACGAAAUGACAGAACCGGAAGAGGAAAUACCCCUUAUAUUGCGCAUACUCAGAUCGGACGGAAAUGACGUUGUUGGAACCGUUUCCGAGUUACACGCGCAUGCGCUGUCAAACAGACGAAAUCACCAGCAGAGGCGACAAGUACGUUCACACUGGACAGACAUGAUGACGUCAUGAUACAAAUGACAUCAUUUUGAAAUGACACAGCUGUGUGACAAAGUGACGUCAUGAUUGUUUUCACGCCCAUGCUGGAUCUUCUGUUCAAAGAAAAAGCGAAAUAAAUGAUUCAUCAAUAUUCCACACACAAAGGAUGAAACAAAAAUUAUAUGAGGAGAUAAUAUCAUCAGUUUUGUCCGGACUUUCUUCAAUUCGGUGACGAGUUAGAUAUGCUGAUCAAAGUGUUAACAUGUUAUCCACGUGAGGGUAUGUCUUCUGCUUUGACCUGUCAUACGUAACGUUACUGCCAGUGUUUAUGUAGUACCUACCUUAUAUAUCUUUGUCACUAUUACAACGCAUUCACACCAUUCCCUGGGAACAGGUCCUCGAGCGAUCUCAAUUCAAUGAUGAGCUGGAUUUAUUGCUAUCAAUUAGAUAAGUAGAAUUGAUGAGGUUUUCAUUAGGAGCGAGGACAAAUGAGGAUAUCAAUAUUCUGAUUAAAAGGGUUUGUCACGUGACUCUCUUUGUCUUAUCCCCACAGUAAUGGUUGCCGUGUAAAUUGAAGGCCUACAAACGUUGAAAAAUUAAUAUAUAAUAUUGCUGAUUCUACAACACAGGAACCCGAUAAUAAAUUAUGUAUGUUGAGUAUUUAUUUGAUGAUGUAUUUUUAUAAAACGACAUAAUUAUUUUGAAGAGCAAGGUCUAGUAGAUUGCCGUAGAUUUUCACGCAGCAUAGACUUGUUGAAUUCACGUUGUUUAAGAGUUAAAUCCGUUUAUGCUUGCCAAUCUAUUUAUUGCACUAACUUGUAACAAUCAUCCAGAACACCCUAUCAACUUUCUGUUUCUACAAAAUAAAACUGUGAG